ACAUCUAAGUACCCCGAGGAAAAGAAAUCAACCGAGAUUCCCCCAGUAGCGGCGAGCGAACGGGGAGGAGCCCAGAGUCUGAAUCAGCGCGUGUGUUAGUGGAACGGUCUGGAAAGUCCGGCGGUACAGGGUGAUAGCCCCGUACACUAAAAUGCACACGUUGUGAACUCGAAGAGUAGGGCGGGACACGUGGUAUCCUGUCUGAAUAUGGGGGGACCAUCCUCCAAGGCUAAAUACUCCUGACUGACCGAUAGUGAACCAGUACCGUGAGGGAAAGGCGAAAAGAACCCCGGCGAGGGGAGUGAAAAAGAACCUGAAACCGUGU
rnacentral:rRNA from 1 species